rnacentral:rRNA from 1 species
UACGUAGGGGGCAAGCGUUAUCCGGAAUUAUUGGGCGUAAAGGGUACGUAGGCGGUUUGAUAAGCGUGAGGUGAAAGGCAAUUGCUUAACGAUUGUAAGCCUUGCGAACUGUCAGACUUGAGUGCAGGAGAGGAAAGCGGAAUUCCUAGUGUAGCGGUGAAAUGCGUAGAUAUUAGGAGGAACACCAGUGGCGAAGGCGGAUUGCUGGACAGUAACUGACGCUGAGGCGCGAAAGCGUGGGGAGCAAACAGG